GUUUCCAUAGUGUAAUGGUUAGCACGUCUGCUUUACAUGCAGAAGGUCCUGGCUUCAUGCCUCAGUGGAGCCA
rnacentral:tRNA from 1 species